GGGGUUGGAUGAUUGGUGCAGGAGUGAGGGGUUGAAUAAUGGGUGCAGAAGUGAGGGGUUGGAUCAUUGGAGUAGGAGUGAGGGGUUGGAUGAUUGGAGUAGGAGUUUGAUGAUUUAAGUAGGAGAGAGAGGUUGGAUGAUUGGUGUAGGAGUGAGAGG